rnacentral:pre_miRNA from 14 species
AUCUACUCACUUAGAACUGAAAGAUCCCACGCAGAGAGACCCUUACUCAAGUCUUGGGAAAUCGCGGACCCCAGACACAGAGAGACCA